UUGGGGGUGAUAAAGGGCAAUUAGGUCUGUGGUGUCAGAAAUCUUGGACCAUUGCAUCUGCACCAAGAAGCCUUUCUUCUGUGUUUGGCAGGUCAGGUUGACAUCAGAGCCAGGAAGAGCAUAAAUAUCUUCUCCUGCACUGAAUGUUUCUUCCCACAGUCCUGAAAAGGAAGGAUGCCAGCCAUCAGCUUACAUGAUUCAUAUGGAGCAACUCAAUUAAAAACCCUGGUCACUUCUGUAAGAAGUUUGACCCGUGGAGACAACAGAAGUCAUUCUACGCAGAGGAGACGGUACCUUGGGAGGAGAGCCUGCUCGGUGGUGGCUGUAGCAAAGUGUAAUGGGAGCAAGAACAUUCCAAGAAAACGCGGCCUCUGUUCUACGCACUGAUUGUGUGCAUUGGGGAAGCUGCUGUCCCAGCACCUAACUGGGAACGCCAUGAUGAUCAUGAAAACAAAUGAACAACAUGAAACACUGUUCUCUGUAGAGCCCUUAAGCCAGCCAAAGAGCCUCAAGGCUUUUAUUUUUUAAAACAAAAUCAUAUGCCUUGUUUCUCUGAGAACAUUCGAAUCGACUAGAAAUUAGAGUAUCUGUAGCAGUUUUACACUCUAACCUAGUUAUAGAACCAUAAAAUUUCAAGAGAAUCAAACCCCUUAUUUUAGAAUUAAGAAAUCUGGUGCCCACUGGAGAGAAAUGAUGAACCUAAAGUCACAGUGAUAUUUUUGGAUAAAUAUUGGACUAUGAAUCAUCUGGCUUUGCCUUCAACAAUUGUUUUCUCUACAAGGAAACAAAGAUUAAUCGUAUAACAAGUGCUACAGUUUACGUGAUGAUGAAUGAAAGAAAACAAAACCAGGCUGAAAUGUGGGUGCUGGGCUGUCAAAUGGGCUCACUCAUCAAAGAGAUUCACACCAGCCUCACAGCACACGUAAUUCCAGUGUGUGCUUUGGUGAAAUAAAAUUUCAAAGAACAAUGUAGCAGAGACCCUGAGGUGCAAAAGUGAAUGCCAGCUCUGUAAAUGUCCAAGGCCCCUCUUUCAUACAUCUCUAGGAUGCACAUGCUCGAGAGGAUCCCGACUGCUCAGCAUCACAUAUGAGGCCCAGAGGAACUGGCCCCACACUCCCACUCAAAAUGGUCCUGCCCACUUCCUUCCUUUCUGUUCCUCAAAUUCUCCGUGUUCAGUCCACCUCAGGGCAUUAACCAUUAUCUGUGUUUCUGCUUGGAAAACAUCCACAGUCUUGCAUCGUGACUGCAUUCUUUUUAUUCGGGGUUGUUCAAAUGUCACCUCCUCAGAGAGGCCUUUCCUGACCCCGUGACAAUGUCCUACUGUGUCCAUCUCAUCAGCUACUUUAUGUCACAUCAACUGCUAACUUACAUGAGAAGUUAGUCUGCUUAUUUUCUUGUUGGUAUAUUGUCACUU